UCCCAAGUGGCUCAGUGGUAAAGAAUCCACCUUCCAAGCGGGAGACACAGGUUCAAUCCCUGAGUCGGGAA
rnacentral:tRNA from 1 species